UUGAAUGCACCUCAUCACCUCCAUCAUUCAUGACCACCUUAAAUUCCUUUUCCGUUCUAUCCUUAAUAACACGACAACCCUUCAAUGAUGGCGAUUGAUUGGUGCUUUCACGUUUGUUGCGCAAAGAAGGCCAAGUUUCAUUGCCCAGGAUGAAAAGCAGAGGGAGAUGAUGUGGAUGAUGCUAACACAGCAACAAGGGAAUCAAAGGAAGAGAUGGGGUUCGAGCCUUCACUUGUAAAUGUCAUGGCUUUACUUGAACCAUUCUUGUCUAAGAUAUGAUACAAUAACAUUCCCAGCACCGCUCUGGCUGAAGUCAAAGGGCAUCAAAACUGGGUCAAAGUAAUCAGUGAAUAUAUUUCUUUACCCGGGGGUGGAACUCAGUUCAAGAAUGGAGCUCUACACUAUAUCGAUCAUAUUCAACAGGUUUUAUAGUUUGUGUUACAUUUACAGGUGGCAGUUUUGAUCCAUUGACUUAUUAACGGAUCUAUUCCGUUAACGUUUAUCUCUUUCUAAGGUGUAAAAGUAAUAGGAAGCUGGUCAGAUGGGUCAAUUUGUAGUCGCUCAUAAGCUUACUUUCAAUUUGUAAAACCUCCUAAACAUUUUAUUAUUUAUAAUGGAUUAUUACUAUUCG
rnacentral:lncRNA from 1 species